rnacentral:rRNA from 1 species
GGAACGGGUGAGUAACACGUGGGUGAUCUGCCCUGCACUUCGGGAUAAGCUUGGGAAACUGGGUCUAAUACCGGAUAGGACCGCACUUUAGUGUGUGUGGUGGAAAGUUUUUUCGGUGUAGGAUGAGCUCGCGGCCUAUCAGCUUGUUGGUGGGGUAAUGGCCUACCAAGGCGGCGACGGGUAGCCGGCCUGAGAGGGUGUACGGCCACAUUGGGACUGAGAUACGGCCCAG